UUCGAAAAAUAUUUUUUAAUCCUUUAUUUAAACGCCACACCGCCGCUUCUUCAGUAUCACUCAUCGGCAGAGUUCAUCUCCCAUCUCCGGAUUGAGUUGUUUAUUUAUGUUUUCAGUGUGAAUUCUUUCUUAAUUUUCCAAUUUUUGUUGAAUUCGAAAUCGAAACGGCUGGGAAUUAGAAUGUGGUUGCGAUGAUUGUAAAAUAAUUCCUCGUACUGAAUGCUGUUUCCGCAGCUUGACAGACUCAUUUUACACCCAUAGAAUAUGAGCUCCCAUCUCUAUUUUCCAGCUGCUGGUUUGCUUUUAUUGUUAUUCGAUUUUUUGAUUUUGUUAUUGUUUUUGGAUCUGUGCGUUCAAAAUGUUAUCUUCAUCGGUGAAUUUGGUAGGGCACGGUUCUCAAUUGAUGAAAUCACAAAUUGGCAAUGCGAUUUCGCUGUUAAUUGCUUAAAUUUUUGUUGAUUCCCAGAUCUUAAUUGGUGGCGAUUAGAGUGUGCUUGCGAUGAUUGUAAAAUAAUUCCUCGUACUGAAUGCUGUUUCUGCAGCUUGACAGACUCAUUUUACACCCAUAGAAUAUGAGCUUCCACCUCUAAUUUUCAUUUGUUCGAUUCAUUAUUUUAUUUGAUUUUUAUUAUUGUUUUUGGUUCAAGAUUGUAGGGCACGGUUGCUCAAUUGAUGAAAUCACAAUAUAUCUGAAAAAUUACUGUCAAAGUUUCAUUUUUUAGCUCAACAUUUCUGUGCUGAUCUGUGCAGGAUUGCAAAUCACAAAUUGCCGCUGUUCUUAAAUUUGUAUAGACUGGAGAUAUUCAAAUAUAUGGAAUCUGUCAUAAUUAAUUGUCAAUACUAAUUUCAAUAUUUUUAGUUUUUAUGAUUUAGAAAAGUCCACUAAGAUCACCUUCUGUUUUUAACAUUAAUGUACCAAGAAUUGAUUGAAAAGUCCACUAAAGUUGAGCUGCUUCAAUGCUUCUCCUGUGUUUAGGUACUUUCAUGUCUUCUCUUUGCUGUUUUAGUGGACUCGAUCUGUUACCUUCGAACCCGGGCUUUGAUAUUUUCCCGAAUAUGCUGGAGAAUUGCUUACUUUUUGUGAUGAAGCUUUGCCAUUGGCUUGUUUAUUCUGUUUUCAUGUAGGUCUUUAGAGCACGUGAUGGAUUUGUUGAAUAGAUUCUUUAGGGAUGGUUCAGAGUGAAUUUGUUCUCUUGUGUUUUAUCAUCUGAAUAUAGAGAUAUCAUUGGCUUAGAUUUUACUAUAGUGAUGGAAGAAUGAGGUCUUGAGCCUUUGUUUAUUGUAAAAACAAUGGAUCAUGUUUGUCAUUUUAUGGAAGUAUCAUUUUAUCUUA